GAUAACUACUGGAAACGGUGGCUAAUACCGCAUAACGUCGCAAGACCAAAGAGGGGGACCUUCGGGCCUCUUACCAUCAGAUGUGCCCAGAUGGGAUUAGCUUGUUGGUGAGGUAACGGCUCACCAAGGCGACGAUCCCUAGCUGGUCUGAGAGGAUGACCAGCCACACUGGAACUGAGACACGGUCCAGACUCCUACGG
rnacentral:rRNA from 1 species